GCGCGGGGCCGGUUCCGACUUUUCGAGUCUGCAGUGUUAGUAGUGGUUCCAUUGCUCCCGACGUGUUCGCACGUCGUCUUAUUGCUGCUCCCGUAACAGUCCGGUGAACAUUAUUCGCGCGUUCACUGCCGUUGUUGCGGUACUUACAUUUAGUAUAUUUUCGCGUCGUCGACUUACGGUUUCGGGCGCAGUAAAUGUCCGCCAAUCGGUAGACGUCAACCUAACAGCUAUACGGUAGAAUAUAAAUCGACGAUCCGUGUUUUCCGGUGCAGCGGGUGCGUGUCGGUUUCGUUUGGAAGUCACGACUUCCGAAGCUCUGUAAUUGAUACCUACUUUAAAAGAAAAACGUCAAAACUUUCAUUCUUGCAUAUGGCGGGUGUCAACAACGUAAGUACAUAUGAUAAUGCAUCAGAAAAUUCCAAUAACACACUUACGCACGCUAACAAGACUGAUGAUUCAGACGACCAGGAUGAUUCGUUGCAGAACGUCAUCGAUAAUGAGUUAUCCAAACGUUUGAACGAAUGUCCAACUCCAGUUAAUCGUGUAAAAUACAGUGUAGAUAUAAUGUUGACUGCGGAAUCAAUUCAUAGUGCCAGUGUUGAGCAAUCCAAUGAAAUGGAAUACUCAGACCUUAAGUCUUUACAAUCAAAUGAGUAUCAAUUGCAAAAAGAUAAUAGCGAGCUUAUAUUACUGUCAGAAAAACAGCAUAUAGAAGAAACUAGUGAUACAGGUCUCGGAUCUGAAAUUAUUUCAGAAUUGGAUGCGCUUAAAUCAGAUAUUGAUAAUGAUGGUCCAUUUUCUGAUAAUAUGAGUAGUGGGUUUGAAGAUGGUGUUACAAAAGAGCUUGUGGAUCAAGAUCCUUCAUAUGCAGAAUCCGAAGAACCUCGUAUUUUUACUAGACCCCUACCGGUUGAUGAAACAGAUAAAGUAACCGAAUUAGUAUUUGAUACUUGGACCACACUUGAUGAGGUUGUGGGAUCUGAAGUACAAAAACUCGAAACCAACGGUUAUAAAGAAAAGUCGGAUUUGGACAUCAGUACCGCUAACCUUAAUACAGAAUGUUUUGAUAAUAAUACACCAGUCAUUACUAACAGUGUUACAGAGGUGGUGUCAGAGACGACGUCAGAACGUAAAACAAUUAAAAAAAAGUCAUCGGCAGUCAGUGGUGAAUCAACUACUACUGUUGUAAAGACGAAAAAAACCAAAAAAUCAAAAAAAUCAGAUGAAAAAGAAAAUAUCUCUGUAAAUUUAAAUGGCCAUUUGACAAAUGAUUCAAAAUUUGAUCAAUAUGACGAAAUUACUGUCGAGGAGGAUGAUUUAUCCAACGUAUGUGUUCGUGAUCUCAAAAAAUCUUAUUGUGACGAAGCUAACCGAAAAUCAUCCUCUGUAAUACCAGAAGAGCCUGUACCUGCUUCUAUUCCCAUUAAUGAAUUGAAGCGAAAUUUCGUUGAUGCAACUAAGAAACAACCAUCCGGAUUUGAAAACGGAAUGAUAAACGGUUGUUCGAAAUCAAGUUUUGGAAAAUUUGAUCAACUGGAAAAGAAAUCAAUUCUUCAACAGAGAUCUCCAGAAUCUGAAAAAAGCGAUGCAAAACAAAAUGGUGUUUUACGUCCAGAAGUUAAUUCUGUGUGUAAGUCAUGUGCGAAGACUGUAUAUGCAAUGGAACAAAUAAAAGCAGAACGUCAGGUUUGGCAUAAGAACUGUUUCCGGUGUAUGACAUGUAAUAAGCAAUUGACACUUGAUAUUUAUAGUAGCCAUGAAGGCAAAUUAUACUGUAAGCCUCAUUUCAAAGAGUUAUUUAAACCUAAAGUAGUUGUUGAGGAUGAGAUACCAAUUAGACGCAAGAAACCCGAAAUGAUAAUACGUGAAAAUCAACCAAUGGAAUUACCACCAGAUGUGGUUCGAGCAAGUGAUAAACCAGAUUUAGGAUUAGAAGAAUUGGGCUCAUUGAAUGUAAAAUCACGAUUUCAAGCUUUUGAAAAUGCUUCUACCAAUGGUAAUAGCAACUUAGAAAAAUCUCCAGUCAGUGUUAAACGUUCACCUAGUAUAUUGAGUAAAUUGGCAAAGUUUCAAUCUAAAGGAAUGGAUGUUGGUGUUUCCAAUGAGGAUUUGAAUGGUGCAUUCUUUGAGCCUUCAUCAAACAGCGAGAGUGAUGAAGAUAAUGAUGCAGAAAAUGAUGUAUUAAAAAAUAGUAUUUCUAAAGAGAAACCUAUGAGUUUUGAUAAGAUGGAGUCUGUUAAACGUAAUUGGGAAAUGCGCCGAGAAGAAAUGAAAGAAGAACAUAAACAAGAAAUACAAAACAUCAGAUCUAAAUUAUUUGCUGGAAAACAAGGAAAAAUGAAGCAAAUGUAUGAACAAGCUGUAGCUGAAAGUGAACGUACUGGUAUAAAACGAGAUUUAAAUAUAAACAAAUCUGAUAAAGCCAAAGUCAUCAAAGAGAAGUUUGAAAAAGGUGAAAUAGUGAAUACUGAAAAUGGUGAUUUAGAUGAAAAUAAUACUAGUGUUUCGGCCAAUGGUGAUGAAGAUGAGAUGAGUGUUUUCGAAGCAGGAAUUUCUAAAAAAUCUCGUAGUCUAUUCAUGGAAUUGGAUGCAAACGCAGCUAAGACUAAACAAGCUGUACCAAUUACGAAUACCAAGAAAGAAUAUAUUCCUACAACAAAACAGGUUACGUCAAUAUACAACCGCCAAGUGUCUGAUGAUGUGGUCAAAUGCAGUGACCGCAUCGAAGACGUUUCUGUGGAAACGGCUGAAGUUUCUUCAAAGUUUAAAUUCUUUGAGACAUACAAGCCUCCUGAGGUCAUUAAGAAACAGUUCAGAAUUACACCCCCACGAGAAGGCCAAAUUAAGGGAGAAUCUCCAGAACGUGAUAUAUAUCGUGAUCCUAAUGUGGUGCGCAACGAAGACCCAGUUGAUGAAACGGCAGAAUUAGUCAAAAGUAACACAACUGCUAAGAUGUUAUCCUUGUUUAGACAAAUGGAAGUAGCUAGACCAACUGUACCUGACGGUCCUAAACCGCUAAAAUGUUUUACUCCACCACCAGACUAUAAGGAAUCAGAAACAGAGUCUGAAUCUGAAGAUGAGGUCAGUGGUGAAGAUGACAGUGAGAAUGAAGAAUCUUCUUGCAGUGAAAGUAAUGAUGAUGUUGUGAAAUCAUCUGUGAAAGUUGAAGAUGAGUUUUUAAAAAAUUCCCAAAAUGCAGUAAUGGCAAAAUCAUUAAAAGAAAAAUUUGAACAUUGGGAACCAGACAAGCAUUCGCUGAAUAAUGCUAUUACAAUGCUUGACUCCGAACAAGAAAGCAUUGAAUCAACUAAAUCUUUACGUGCUCGUUUUGAAUCAUUAAAAGGUGAUCGUCCAGCUGAUAAACCAAAACCAAAAGUGAACCGAUUCUUGGCCAACGCUAAUAUGUCGACAGUCGGACGAAAAAAAGACAUUUAUUGGGACUUUUUUUACUAACGUCUGACAUGACGACAUAGAAAAAUAUAUUAUUCUUAAACAAUACAUUAUAUUAGUAAUAACUGAAGCUCCAUUCAACCCGUAUACUUCAAUAGUGUAAAUAAAAACUUAUUCGAAAAUUACAUAUACGUGUAUGGUCUAACAUAUUUGCUUGAUUUUUCAUUUUAUACUUUAUUCUUUUAAUAAUAAUAAUGUUAAUAACGUUUUUAAAUCAGUAUCUUUUAUGAUUCAAAGUAUUCUCUAGUAAAUAAGGUCAUGCAAUCAUCUUCAUUGAUUAAAAAAAAAUAACACUUUAUUUUUGUUCGAUAAACUGACAUUUACCAAACACAUUUUAUAUUUGUCACCUCAUUGUUGUUUUAUUUAAAAUUAGCUAUAUUUUGAUUGUUGAACUUCAAACACCUACAAUAUUAGUGUAGUAUUGUUUUGAAGUAUCAUUUUUAGUUUUCUUUAUAUAAAUUUCAGUAUCAUAUGUCAAUAUCCAUAAGUAAGUGAAAUAAAACAUAGCAAUUUUUCCAUUUUAAGUGUUUAAGCAAAUGGAUAAAGAUGAUAAAUCACUAAUACUGUUCUGGACUGGUUAAAUUUUAGUUUGUCAUUUUUUAAUUUAGAAUAAGAACAUAUUGUUAUUAUACUUGUGAGUUUUUGUU